CUCGUCGUCCAGAUCACUGUCUCCAGCCUGCUGAAGCUCAGAGGGCUCUGAUUCAGAAAGAUCAUCGGAUCCGUCUGAGCUUGGCUGGUCGGAAGUCUCCUCAUCUGCUUCGUACG
rnacentral:pre_miRNA from 15 species